GAUGAACGCUGGCGGCGUGCCUGACACAUGCGAGUCGAGCGAACGGACGAGAAGCUUGCUUCUCUGAUGUUAGCGGCGGACGGGUGAGUAACACGUGGAUAACCUACCUAUAAGACUGGGAUAACUUCGGGAAACCGGAGCUAAUACCGGAUAAUAUUUUGAACCGCAUGGUUCAAAAGUAAAAGACGGUCUUGCUGUCACUUAUAGAUGGAUCCGCGCUGCAUUAGCUAGUUGGUAAGGUAACGGCUUACCAAUGCAACGAUGCAUAGCCGACCUGAGAGGGUGAUCGGCCACACUGGAACUGAGACACGGUCCAGACUCCUACGGGAGGCAGCAGUAGGGAAUCUUCCGCAAUGGGCGAAAGCCUGACGGAGCAACGCCGCGUGAGUGAUGAAGGUCUUCGGAUCGUAAAACUCUGUUAUUAGGGAAGAACAUAUGUGUAAGUAACUGUGCACAUCUUGACGGUACCUAAUCAGAAAGCCACGGCUAACUACGUG
rnacentral:rRNA from 1 species